rnacentral:tRNA from 1 species
ACGGCGGUGCGCCGGGUGGCGCGCGGCGGUUCGGCCAUCGACCCGUCGAUCGUGUCGACGCUGCUGUC